CUGGAUUUAGAAGAUCAAUACGAUAAUGUUCUCUAUCACAAUUUAAUCAUAGAAAUAGAUUUCCAAGAACGCGGAACUCGGAAUGCCUGACCGCUCCCUGUGAGCAGAGCACGCACCCUAAACAAAAAGCUGUACCUGGUCUAUAAUAAGUUGAAUGCUGGGAAUUCAACAGUUAAAGGAAAUCAGUAAUAACA